UGGGGAAUUUUCCGCAAUGGGCGAAAGCCUGACGGAGCAAGACCGCGUGAGGGAGGAAGGCCUUUGGGUUGUAAACCUCUUUUCUCAGGGAAGAAGAAAGUGACGGUACCUGAGGAAUCAGCCUCGGCUAACUCCGUGCCAGCAGCCGCGGUAGUACGGAGGAGGCAAGCGUUAUCCGGAAUUAUUGGGCGUAAAGCGUCCGUAGGUGGUUUUUCAAGUCCGCUGUCAAAGACCGGAGCUCAACUCCGGAGAGGCAGUAGAAACUGAGGAACUAGAGACCGGUAGGGGUAGAGGGAAUUCCCAGUGUAGCGGUGAAAUGCGUAGAUAUUGGGAAGAACACCAGUGGCGAAGGCGCUCUACUGGGCCGUAACUGACGCUGAGGGACGAAAGCUAGGGGAGCGAAAGGGAUUAGAUACCCCCGUAGUCC
rnacentral:rRNA from 1 species